GGUAUCCAACCAGAAAUUCGAGCCUAAGUAUCAGUCAGCAGCCGCGCUAAUACGUUGGUGGCAAGUGUUAUUCCGAUUUAUUGGGCAUAAAGCGAGCGCACGCGGUUUUUCAAGUUUGUUGUGAAAGCCCUAGGUUUACCCGAUGAAGCGCAUCGGAAACGGGGAAACUUGAGUGCAGAAGAGGACAGUGGAAAACCACGUGUAGCGGUGAAAUGCGCAGAUAAAUGGAAGAACACCAGUGGCGAAGGCGGCUGUCUGGUCUGUAACUGACGAUGAGGCUCGAAAGCAUGGGUAGCGAACAGGAUUAGAUACCCCGGUAGUUCAUGCCGUAAAUGAUGAAUGAUAGGUGUAGGAGGGUUUCCGCCCUUCAGUGCCGCAGCUAACGCAUUAAGCAUCCGCC
rnacentral:rRNA from 1 species